GAUGAACGCUGGCGGCGUGCCUAAUACAUGCAAGUCGAGCGAACAGAUGAGGAGCUUGCUCCUCUGACGUUAGCGGCGGACGGGUGAGUAACACGUGGAUAACCUACCUAUAAGACUGGGAUAACUUCGGGAAACCGGAGCUAAUACCGGAUAAUAUAUUGAACCGCAUGGUUCAAUAGUGAAAGACGGUUUUGCUGUCACUUAUAGAUGGAUCCGCGCCGCAUUAGCUAGUUGGUAAGGUAACGGCUUACCAAGGCGACGAUGCGUAGCCGACCUGAGAGGGUGAUCGGCCACCCUGGAACUGAGACACGGUCCAGACUCCUACGGGAGGCAGCAGUAGGGAAUCUUCCGCAAUGGGCGAAAACCUGACGGAGCAACGCCGCGUGAGUGAUGAAGGUCUUCGGAUCGUAAAACUCUGUUAUUAGGGAAGAACAAAUGUGUAAGUAACUAUGCACGUCUUGACGGUACCUAAUCAGAAAGCCACGGCUAACUACGUG
rnacentral:rRNA from 1 species